rnacentral:rRNA from 1 species
AUUGAACGCUGGCGGCAAGCCUAACACAUGCAAGUCGAACGAGUGGCGGACGGGUGGGUAAUGUCUGGGAAACUGCCUGAUGGCGGGGGAUAACUACUGGAAACGGUAGCUAAUACCGCAUACCAUCGGAUGUGCCCAGAUGGGAUUAGCGAGUAGGUGGGGUAAAGGCUCACCUAGGCGACGAUCCCUAGCUGGUCUGAGAGGAUGACCAGCCACACUGGAACUGGGACACGGUCCAGACUCCUACGGGAGGCAGCAGUGGGGAAUAUUGGACAAUGGGCGCAAGCCUGAUCCAGCCAUGCCGCGUGUAUGAAGAAGGCCUUCGGGUUGUAAAGUACUUUUAGCGGGGAGGCGUUACCCGCAGAAGAAGCACCGGCUAACUCCGUGCCAGCAGCCGCGGUAAUAC